rnacentral:rRNA from 1 species
AGAGUUUGAUCAUGGCUCAGGAUGAACGCUGGCGGUCUGCUUAACACAUGCAAGUCGAACGGACUCUUCGGAGUUAGUGGCGGACGGGUGAGUAACGCGUGAGAAUCUGCCUCUAGAACGGGGACAACAGAGGGAAACUUCUGCUAAUCCCGGAUGAGCCGAAAGGUCAAAGAUUUAUCGUCUAGAGAUGAGCUCGCGUCUGAUUAGCUAGUUGGUAAGGUAAAGGCUUACCGAGGCGACGAUCAGUAGCUGGUCUGAGAGGAUGAUCAGCCACACUGGGACUGAGACACGGCCCAGACUCCUACGGGAGGCAGCAGUGGGGAAUUUUCCGCAAUGGGCGCAAGCCUGACGGAGCAAGACCGCGUGGGGGAGGAAAGCCUUUGGGUUGUAAACCCCUUUUCUCAGGGAAGAAGAAAGUGACGGUACCUGAGGAAUCAGCCUCGGCUAACUCCGUGCCAGCAGCCGCGGUAAUACGGAGGAGGCAAGCGUUAUCCGGAAUGAUUGGGCGUAAAGCGUUCGUAGGUGGCAAUUCAAGUCUGCUGUCAAAGACAGUAGCUCAACUACUGCAAGGCAGUGGAAACUGAAUAGCUAGAGUGCGGUAGGGGCAGAGGGAAUUCCCGGUGUAGCGGUGAAAUGCGUAGAGAUCGGGAAGAACACCGGUGGCGAAAGCGCUCUGCUGGGCCGCAACUGACACUGAGGGACGAAAGCUAGGGGAGCGAAUGGGAUUAGAUACCCCAGUAGUCCUAGCUGUAAACGAUGGAAACUAGGUGUUGCCUGUAUCGACCCAGGCAGUGCCGUAGCUAACGCGUAAGUUCCCGCAUGGGAGGUUCGAAGCACAAGCGGUGGAGUAUGUGGUUUAAUUCGAUGCAACGCGAAGACUUACCAGGGCUUGACAUGUCGGAAUUCUGGGGAAACUCGGAAGUGCUUCGGGAACCGGAACACAGGUGGUGCAUGGCUGUCGUCAGCUCGUGUCGUGAGAUGUUGGGUUAAGUCCCGCAACGAGCGCAACCCUCGUUUUUAGUUGCCAUCAUUAAGUUGGGCACUCUAGAGAGACUGCCGGUGACAAACCGGAGGAAGGUGGGGAUGACGUCAAGUCAUCAUGCCCCUUACGUCCUGGGCUACACACGUACUACAAUGGUAAGGACAAAGGGCAGCCACUUCGCGAGGAGGAGCUAAUCCCGUAAACCUUGCCUCAGUUCAGAUUGCAGGCUGCAACUCGCCUGCAUGAAGGAGGAAUCGCUAGUAAUCGCAGGUCAGCAUACUGCGGUGAAUCCGUUCCCGGGCCUUGUACACACCGCCCGUCACACCAUGGAAGUUAGCCAUGCCCGAAGUCAUUACUCUAACCUUUCGAGGAGGAGGGUGCCGAAGGCAGGGCUGAUGACUGGGGUGAAGUCGUAACAAGGUAACC